rnacentral:rRNA from 1 species
UGGGGAAUUUUGGACAAUGGGCGCAAGCCUGAUCCAGCCAUUCCGCGUGAGUGAAGAAGGCCUUCGGGUUGUAAAGCUCUUUCGCAAGGGAAGAAAACUUAUCCUCUAACAUAGGAUGAGGUUGACGGUACCUUGAUAAGAAGCACCGGCUAACUACGUGCCAGCAGCCGCGGUAAUACGGAGGGUGCGAGCGUUAAUCGGAAUUACUGGGCGUAAAGAGUGCGUAGGCGGCUCGUUAAGUCAGAUGUGAAAGCCCUGGGCUCAACCUGGGAACUGCAUUUGAAACUGGCGAGCUAGAGUUGAGUAGAGGUAAGUGGAAUUUCAGGUGUAGCAGUGAAAUGCGUAGAGAUGUGGAGGAAUACCAAUGGCGAAGGCAGCCCCCUGGGAUAAUAUUGACGCUCAUGCACGAAAGCGUGGGGAGCAAACAGG